rnacentral:rRNA from 1 species
GACGAACGCUGGCGGCGUGCCUAAUACAUGCAAGUCGAACGCAGUGGGGACGGGUGAGUAACACGUGGGUAACCUCCCAUCAGAGGGGAUAAAACUUGGAAACAGGUGCUAAACUGAUAUUGAUGGAUGGACCCGCGGUGCAUUAGCUAGGUGGUGGGGUAACGGCUCACCAAGGCCACGAUGCAUAGCCGACCUGAGAGGGUGAUCGGACACACUGGGACGGAGACACGGCCCAGACGCCUACGGGAGGAAGCAGUAGGGAAUCUUCGGCAAUGGACGAAAGUCUGACCGAGCAACGCCGCGUGAGUGAAGAAGGUUUUCGGAUCGUAAAACACUGUUGUUAGGGAGGCGGUAUCUAACCAGAAAGCAACGGCUAACUACGUGCCAGCAGCCGCGGUAAUUC